rnacentral:rRNA from 1 species
GAUGAACGCUGGCGGCGUGCCUAAUACAUGCAAGUCGAGCGAACGGACGAGAAGCUUGCUUCUCUGAUGUUAGCGGCGGACGGGUGAGUAACACGUGGAUAACCUACUUAUAAGACUGGGAUAACUUCGGGAAACCGUAGCUAAUACCGGAUAAUAUUUUGAACCGCAUGGUUCAAAAGUGAAAGACGGUCUUGCUGUCACUUAUAGAUGGAUCCGCGCUGCAUUAGCUAGUUGGUAAGGUAACGGCUUACCAAGGCAACGAUGCAUAGCCGACCUGAGAGGGUGAUCGGCCACACUGGAACUGAGACACGGUCCAGACUCCUACGGGAGGCAGCAGUAGGGAAUCUUCCGCAAUGGGCGAAAGCCUGACGGAGCAACGCCGCGUGAGUGAUGAAGGUCUUCGGAUCGUAAAACUCUGUUAUUAGGGAAGAACAUAUGUGUAAGUAACUGUGCACAUCUUGACGGUACCUAAUCAGAAAGCCACGGCUAACUACGUGCCAGCAGCCGCGGUAAUACGUAGGUGGCAAGCGUUAUCCGGAAUUAUUGGGCGUAAAGCGCGCGUAGGCGGUUUUUUAAGUCUGAUGUGAAAGCCCACGGCUCAACCGUGGAGGGUCAUUGGAAACUGGAAAACUUGAGUGCAGAAGAGGAAAGUGGAAUUCCAUGUGUAGCGGUGAAAUGCGCAGAGAUAUGGAGGAACACCAGUGGCGAAGGCGACUUUCUGGUCUGUAACUGACGCUGAUGUGCGAAAGCGUGGGGAUCAAACAGGAUUAGAUACCCUGGUAGUCCACGCCGUAAACGAUGAGUGCUAAGUGUUAGGGGGUUUCCGCCCCUUAGUGCUGCAGCUAACGCAUUAAGCACUCCGCCUGGGGAGUACGACCGCAAGGUUGAAACUCAAAGGAAUUGACGGGGACCCGCGCAAGCGGUGGAGCAUGUGGUUUAAUUCGAAGCAACGCGAAGAACCUUACCAAAUCUUGACAUCCUUUGACAACUCUAGAGAUAGAGCCUUCCCCUUCGGGGGACAAAGUGACAGGUGGUGCAUGGUUGUCGUCAGCUCGUGUCGUGAGAUGUUGGGUUAAGUCCCGCAACGAGCGCAACCCUUAAGCUUAGUUGCCAUCAUUAAGUUGGGCACUCUAAGUUGACUGCCGGUGACAAACCGGAGGAAGGUGGGGAUGACGUCAAAUCAUCAUGCCCCUUAUGAUUUGGGCUACACACGUGCUACAAUGGACAAUACAAAGGGCAGCGAAACCGCGAGGUCAAGCAAAUCCCAUAAAGUUGUUCUCAGUUCGGAUUGUAGUCUGCAACUCGACUACAUGAAGCUGGAAUCGCUAGUAAUCGUAGAUCAGCAUGCUACGGUGAAUACGUUCCCGGGUCU